rnacentral:misc_RNA from 1 species
AAAAAAAAAAAAAAAAAAGUAAAAGAAAUGAAGAGUAGAUAUGCUUUUAAUUACAUAUGACAUUUAAAAAUGGUGAGAUAACAUAUGGAUUUAGGUUUGAAGAUGAAUUCUGCUAAUAUCUUCUUUCUUUUUUCCCUCUCCCUGCUGUAGGAAAAUUUUACCUUAUUUUGUGCUUCUACAAAAUUCACAGUAAAAAGCUAUAAUUUGUAUCUAAGACUCCCUCUCACAUGCAUAGGAAAAUGGGAGAGUCUCCAGCGUAGCAAAUCAGUUUACAUUUUUUUUUUUCAUGUUCUCUCGUAAUUAUGUUUUCCCUCCCUUGUAAUUACCUUUUCUCAAAAAUGCAAUUUUUUCUAUAAACAAAAAGUAUAUGGAUUAUUUAUUGCAUGUUGUGGAAUCAAGUUGGUUUCCAUAAAAUAAUCGAUCAUAAGGAACUAUUAAGUGCCCAGUUCAAGCAAUAAUAUGCUGAAGAAUUAAAGAAUGGUUCCUUUUUGUAUGAAAAUCAGUUUGGAAUUUUCAUAAUCAGUGCCCACAUUUCAAAAAAAAUUUUCCCCUGAAUUUUAUUGAGUUUUUUUUUUUUUUGGUAUAUUUUUUAUAAAUUUCACUAUAGAUGUUUAUAGGGAAAAGCUUGACUUUAAAUUGGUGGCCCAAUUUCCAUUUGGGUAAAUAGAUGAGAAGCGGGAAAAGAUCGUGUCCUCAGGGC